AUUGAACGCUGGCGGCAUGCCUUACACAUGCAAGUCGAACGGUAACAGGUCUUCGGAUGCUGACGAGUGGCGAACGGGUGAGUAAUACAUCGGAACGUGCCUAGUAGUGGGGGAUAACUACUCGAAAGAGUGGCUAAUACCGCAUGAGAUCUACGGAUGAAAGCAGGGGAUCGCAAGACCUUGUGCUACUAGAGCGGCCGAUGGCAGAUUAGGUAGUUGGUGGGAUAAAAGCUUACCAAGCCGACGAUCUGUAGCUGGUCUGAGAGGACGAUCAGCCACACUGGGACUGAGCCACGGCCCAGACUCCUACGGGAGGCAGCAGUGGGGAAUUUUGGACAAUGGGCGAAAGCCUGAUCCAGCAAUGCCGCGUGCAGGAUGAAGGCCUUCGGGUUGUAAACUGCUUUUGUACGGAACGAAAAGCCCCGGGUUAAUACCCUGGGGUCAUGACGGUACCGUAAGAAUAAGCACCGGCUAACUCCGUGCCAGCCGCCGCUGUAA
rnacentral:rRNA from 1 species